GACAGAGGGUGCAAACGUUGUUCGGAAUUACUGGGCGUAAAGCGAGUGUAGGCGGUCUCGUAAGUCGGGUGUGAAAGCCCUGGGCUCAACCCAGGAAGUGCACUCGAAACUGCGAGGCUAGAGUACUGGAGAGGUUGGUGGAAUUCUCGGUGUAGAGGUGAAAUUCGUAGAUAUCGAGAGGAACACCGGUGGCGAAGGCGGCCAACUGGACAGAUACUGACGCUGAAUCGCGAAAGCUAGGGGAGCAAACGGG
rnacentral:rRNA from 1 species